GCUAAUACCGCGUAAUGUCUUAGGACUAAAGGGUGGGACCAUUUGGCCACCUGCCAUAAGAUGAGCCCAAGUGGGAUUAGGUAGUUGGUGAGGUAAAGGCUCACCAAGCCCGCGAUCUCUAGCUGGUCUGAGAGGAUGACCAGCCACACUGGAACUGAGACACGGUCCAGACUCCUACGGGAGGCAGCAGUGGGGAAUAUUGCACAAUGGGGGGAACCCUGAUGCAGCCAUGCCGCGUGAAUGAAGAAGGCCUUCGGGUUGUAAAGUUCUUUCGGUGACGAGGAAGGCGAUUGUUUUAAUAGAACAGUCGAUUGACGUUAAUCACAGAAGAAGCACCGGCUAACUCCGUGCCAGCAGCCGCGGUAAUACGGGGGGUGCGAGCGUUAAUCGGAAUAACUGGGCGUAAAGGGCACGCAGGCGGUUGUUUAAGUGAGGUGUGAAAGCCCCGGGCUUAACCUGGGAAUUGCAUUUCAGACUGGACAACUAGAGUACUUUAGGGAGGGGUAGAAUUCCACGUGUAGCGGUGAAAUGCGUAGAGAUGUGGAGGAAUACCGAAGGCGAAGGCAGCCCCUUGGGAAUGUACUGACGCUCAUGUGCGAAAGCGUGGGGAGCAAACAGGAUUAGAUACCCUGGUAGUCCACGCCGUAAACGCUGUCGAUUUGGGGAUUGGGGUUUAACUCUGGUGCCCGUAGCUAACGUGAUAAAUCGACCGCCUGGGGAGUACGGCCGCAAGGUUAAAACUCAAAUGAAUUGACGGGGGCCCGCACAAGCGGUGGAGC
rnacentral:rRNA from 1 species